rnacentral:misc_RNA from 1 species
ACCCGGAUGAGGGUGUCGAUUUCUCCCAGUAAUCAGGGCCUCCUUUGGUUGGCAUUGGUCCAUGCGUACACUAUAUCGCUUUGUGGCCGAAAUCAAGGAAAAAGUCGGCUGGGCGACAAAGUCGGUGCUUUUGGGUCUGGAUUCUGCGGCAAUUUUUCCGAGCAAGUUUUCGAGAUAGUGGAACGGGAAGCCAUCUAUGCGGCAUGACUCUCUAAGUGGCCUGCCGCGCGGUGUCGAAUUGCCGAGUUGGACGCCGCCGCCCGUUCCGCUGCGGGAACCGCUCGAAGGGCGGUACUGCCGGGUGGAGCCGCUGAAUGAGACGCAUGCCGACGCAUUGCAUGCUGCGAAUUUGCUUGAUCACGACGGACGGAUGUGGGCAUACCUGCCCUAUGGCCCGUUCGACUCGCCUUCGAGCUACCGCGAAUGGGUGCAUGGGAAGAAUGCGAGCGGAGACCCGAUGUUCUUGGCGAUUAUUGAUCGAGCGUCGGAUCGGCCGGUGGGCGUCGCCGGCUGGAUGCGGAUUGAACCGACGAAUGGUUCCAUCGAAGUCGGCCAUCUGGCGUACUCGCCACCGCUGCAGCGCACGGCAGCGGCGACGGAAGCGAUGUUCUUGAUGAUGGAGCGGGUGUUCGCACUGGGAUAUCGGCGAUACGAAUGGAAGUGCGAUGCGCUCAACGCGCCGUCGCGGGCUGCGGCGGAGCGAUUGGGAUUCACGUUCGAGGGCAUCUUUCGUCAGGCGGCGGUGGUGAAGGGCCGCAAUCGUGACACGGCCUGGUACUCGGUGAUUGACCGCGAGUGGCCGGCGCUGCAGGAGGGAUUUCAGAAGUGGCUGGCGCCGGCGAACCUCAACGAAGCAGGAAGGCAACGCGUUCGCUUGGCGGAAUUCCGUCGUUGAAACUAGCCAUGAAUUCCGUGAGGCGUUACCCCCGCUUCCCAGCAAGGUUCGAAUCGAUUACCUCCGCGUGCGGAAUAAAAACUUGCAAUUGGCG